UUACGCCCGCAAGCUUAAACUCAAAGAAAUUGACGGGGGCCCGCACAAGCGGCGGAGCAUUGUGGAUUAAUUCGAUGCAACGCGAAGAACCUUACCUGGGUUUGACAUGCACAGGACGUGCCUAGAGAUAGGUAUUCACCUUGUGGCCUGUGUGCAGGUGGUGCAUGGCUGUCGUCAGCUCGUGUCGUGAGAUGUUGGGUUAAGUCCCGCAACGAGCGCAACCCUUGUCUCAUGUUGCCAGCACGUUAUGGUGGGGACUCGUGAGAGACUGCCGGGGUCAACUCGGAGGAAGGUGGGGAUGACGUCAAGUCAUCAUGCCCCUUUAUGUCCAGGGCUUCACACACGCUACAAUGGCCGGUACAAAGGGCUGCGAUGCCGUGAGGUGGAGCGAAUCCUUUCAAAGCCGGUCUCAGUUCGGAUCGGGGUCUGCAACUCGACCCCGUGAAGUCGGAGUCGCUAGUAAUCGCAGAUCAGCAACGCUGCGGUGAAUACGUUCCCGGGCCUUGUACACACCGCCCGUCACGUCAUGAAAGUCGGUAACACCCGAAGCCGGUGGCCUAACCCCGUGUGGGAGGGAGCCGUCGAAGGUGGGAUCGGCGAUUGGGACGAAGUCGUAACAAGUACCCNUACCGGGAAGUGCGGCUGGAUCACCUUAAUCAUCUUGGUCAUUCGCGAGUACCGUAG
rnacentral:rRNA from 1 species